CCAUACGACCGUACCGCAAACCGACACUGGUGCGCGAGAUGAGUAUUCUAAGGCGCUUGAGAGAACUCAGGAGAAGGAACUCGGCAAAUUGACACCGUAACUUCGGAAGAAGGUGUGCCCUAUUAGUGUGUAGUGGACAACGAAGCAUGAAUGGGUUGCAAAAAAUCGGUGGCUGCGACUGUUUAUUAAAAACACAGCACUCUGCAAACACGAAAGUGGACGUAUAGGGUGUGACGCCUGCCCGGUGCUGGAAGAUUAAAUGAUGGGGUGCAAGCUCUUGAUUGAAGUCCCAGUAAACGGCGGCCGUAACAAUAACGGUCCUAAGGUAGCGAAAUUCCUUGUCGGGUAAGUUCCGACCUGCACGAAUGGCGUAACGAUGGCCACACUGUCUCCUCCUGAGACUCAGCGAAGUUGAAAUGUUUGUGAUGAUGCAAUCUCCCCGCGGAAAGACGGAAAGACCCCAUGAACCUUUACUGUAGCUUUGUAUUGGACUUUGAACAGAUCUGUGUAGGAUAGGUGGGAGGCUUUGAAGCAGGGUCGCUAGAUCUUGUGGAGCCAACGUUGAAAUACCACCCUGGUGUGUUUGAGGUUCUAACCUAGGUCCAUUAUCUGGAUCGGGGACAGUGCAUGGUAGGCAGUUUGACUGGGGCGGUCUCCUCCCAAAGCGUAACGGAGGAGUUCGAAGGUACGCUAGUUACGGUCGGACAUCGUGACGAUAGUGCAAUGGCAUAAGCGUGCUUAACUGCGAGACUGACAAGUCGAGCAGAUGCGAAAGCAGGACAUAGUGAUCCGGUGGUUCUGUAUGGAAGGGCCAUCGCUCAACGGAUAAAAGGUACUCUGGGGAUAACAGGCUGAUACCGCCCAAGAGUUCAUAUCGACGGCAGUGUUUGGCACCUCGAUGUCGGCUCAUCUCAUCCUGGGGCUGUAGCCGGUCCCAAGGGUAUGGCUGUUCGCCAUUUAAAGAGGUACGUGAGCUGGGUUUAAAACGUCGUGAGACAGUUUGGUCCCUAUCUUCCGUGGGCGCUGCAGAUUUGAGGAAGCCUGCUCCUAGUACGAGAGGACCGGAGUGGACACACCUCUGGUGUAUCGGUUGUCACGCCAGUGGCAUUGCCGAGUAGCUAAGUGUGGAAGAGAUAACCGCUGAAAGCAUCUAAGCGGGAAACUCGUUUCAAGAUGAGAUCUGCCGGGGCCUUGAGCCCCCUAAAGAGUCGUUCAAGACCAGGACGUUGAUAGGUCAGGUGUGGAAGC
rnacentral:rRNA from 1 species